CCUACGGGAGGCAGCAGUAGGGAAUCUUCCACAAUGGGCGAAAGCCUGAUGGAGCAACGCCGCGUGGGUGAAGAAGGUCUUCGGAUCGUAAAACCCUGUUGAUAGAGAAGAAAGUGCGGGAGAGUAACUGUUCACGUGUCGACGGUAUCUAACCAGAAAGCCACGGCUAACGACGUGCCAGCAGCCGCGGUAAGACGUAGGUGGCAAGCGUUAUCCGGAUUUAUUGGGCGUAAAGGGAACGCAGGCGGUCUUUUAAGUCUGAUGUGAAAGCCUUCGGCUUAACCGGAGUAGGGCAUUGGAAACUUGGAGCCUUUCGUGCAGCCGAGUGGACUGUCACUCCAUGUGUAGCGGUGACAUGCGUCGCUAUCUG
rnacentral:rRNA from 1 species